rnacentral:lncRNA from 1 species
UAAGCACAAUUAACACAUCUCUUUAAUAUUACAUGUCCACUUUAAGCUAUUACAAGUUUCUUCUCUUAUCUCUGAACUCUUCUGACCUUCCCCUGUACACUGUACACUGAAAUCCUGCAAGACUGGGAUUAAGGGAGUGGGAUGAGCUCUAUAGCCCAGUGAGUAGAAUAACAAAAUCAGUCAUAAAAUAUGAGCACAUGGAAUGCGUCAUAACACAGACAAGCCAC